rnacentral:lncRNA from 1 species
AUGAGCCCGUCCUCUUAUAGCUCCUCCCACCAGCCUCCACUGCUUUCUACUGUACCUUUUAUUUUGUGUCUUUCACUCUCUCUCCACCCUCCCUUUCCAUCUUUCACUCUCUCCACCCUCCCUUUCCAUCUUUCACUCUCUCUCCAUCCUCCCUUUCCAUCUUUCACUCCCUCUCUCUCCAUCCUCCCUUUCCAUCUUUCACUCCCUCUCCUUCCUCCCUUUCCAUCUUUCACUCCCUCCCUCUCCAUCCUCCCUUUCCAUCUUUCACUCCCUCCCUCUCCAUCCUCCCUCUCAGUCUUUCACUCCCUCUCUCUCCAUCCUCCCUUUCCAUCUUUCACUCCCUCCCUCUCCAUCCUCCCUCUCAGUCUUUCACUCCCUCUCUCUCCAUCCUCCCUCUCAGUCUUUCACUCCCUCUCCUUCCUCCCUUUCCAUCUUUCACUCCCUCCCUCUCCAUCCUCCCUUUCCAUCUUUCACUCCCUCCCUCUCCAUCCUCCCUCUCAGUCUUUCACUCCCUCUCUCUCAUCCUCCCUUUCCAUCUUUCACUCCCUCCCUCUCCAUCCUCCCUCUCAGUCUUUCACUCCCUCUCUCUCCAUCCUCCCUCUCAGUCUUUCACUCCCUCUCUCUCCAUCCUCCCUCUCCAUCUUUCACUCCCUCCCUCUCCAUCCUCCCUCUCAGUCUUUCACUCCCUCUCUCUCCAUCCUCCCUUUCUAUCUUUCACUCCCUCUCUCUCCAUCCUCCCUUUCCAUCUUUCACUCACCCCCUCUCCAUCCUCCCUCUCAGUCUUUCACUCCCUCUCUCUCCAUCCUCCCUUUCCAUCUUUCACUCACUCCCUCUCCAUCCUCCCUCCCAGUCUUUCACUCCCUCUCCACCCUCCCUCUCCGUCUUUCACUCCCUCGCUCUCUAUCCUCCCUCUGUCGUUCACUCCCUCUCCACCCUCCCUCUCAGUCUUUCACUCCCUCUCCACCCUCCCUCUCCGUCUUUCACUCCCUCUCUCUCCAUCCUCCCUCUGUCGUUCACUCCCUCUCCACCCUCCCUCUCAGUCUUUCACUCCCUCUCCACCCUCCCUCUCAGUCUUUCACUCCCUCUCCAUCCUCCCUCUCAUUCUUUCACUCCCUCUCCACCCUCCCUCUCAGUCUUUCACUCCCUCUCCAUCCUCCCUCUCAGUCUUUCACUCCCUCUCCAUCCUCCCUCUGUCUUUCACUCCCUCCCUCUCCAUCCUCCCUCUCAGUCUUUCACUCCCUCUCCAUCCUCCCUCUCAGUCUUUCACUCCCUCUCCUUCCUCCCUUUUCUACUCUUUCUCUUUCUCAAUUUCUGAUAGACAGGUUGAGUUACUGGAUACUAGUGUCAGUAUCUAAGACCUGA